rnacentral:rRNA from 1 species
UGGGGAAUCUUGCGCAAUGGGCGAAAGCCUGACGCAGCGACGCCGCGUGGGUGAUGAAGGCCUUCGGGUUGUAAAGCCCUGUGGAGGGGGACGAAUAAGGGCAGCCUAAUACGCUGACUGAUGACGGUACCCUUUUAGCAAGCACCGGCUAACUCUGUGCCAGCAGCCGCGGUAAGACAGAGGGUGCAAACGUUGUUCGGAAUUACUGGGCGUAAAGCGCGUGUAGGCGGCUUGGCAAGUCGGGUGUGAAAGCCCUGGGCUCAACCUAGGAAGUGCACUCGAAACUGCCUCGCUGGAGUGCCGGAGAGGAAAGCGGAAUUCUCGGUGUAGAGGUGAAAUUCGUAGAUAUCGAGAGGAACACCGGUGGCGAAGGCGGCUUUCUGGACGGUUACUGACGCUGAGACGCGAAAGCGUGGGGAGCAAACAG